rnacentral:rRNA from 1 species
UACGGGGGGGAGCAAGCGUUGUUCGGAUUUACUGGGCGUAAAGGGCGCGUAGGCGGCCAGCACAAGUCAGUUGUGAAAUCUCCGAGCUUAACUCGGAACGGUCAACUGAUACUGUGCGGCUAGAGUGCAGAAGGGGCAACUGGAAUUCUUGGUGUAGCGGUGAAAUGCGUAGAUAUCAGGAGGAACACCGGUGGCGAAGGCGGUUCUCUGGGCAUUCCCUGACGCUGAGGAGCGAAAGUGUGGGGAGCGAACAGG